GACAUGAUUAGGUGCAAAGAUUCGCAUGU
rnacentral:piRNA from 1 species